rnacentral:rRNA from 1 species
GAUGAACGCUGGCGGCGUGCCUAAUACAUGCAAGUCGAGCGAACAGACGAGGAGCUUGCUCCUCUGACGUUAGCGGCGGACGGGUGAGUAACACGUGGAUAACCUACCUAUAAGACUGGGAUAACUCGGGAAACCGGAGCUAAUACCGGAUAAUAUAUUGAACCGCAUGGUUCAAUAGUGAAAGACGGUUUUGCUGUCACUUAUAGAUGGAUCCGCGCCGCAUUAGCUAGUUGGUAAGGUAACGGCUUACCAAGGCGACGAUGCGUAGCCGACCUGAGAGGGUGAUCGGCCACACUGGAACUGAGACACGGUCCAGACUCCUACGGGAGGCAGCAGUAGGGAAUCUUCCGCAAUGGGCGAAAGCCUGACGGAGCAACGCCGCGUGAGUGAUGAAGGUCUUCGGAUCGUAAAACUCUGUUAUUAGGGAAGAACAAAUGUGUAAGUAACUAUGCACGUCUUGACGGUACCUAAUCAGAAAGCCACGGCUAACUACGU